rnacentral:lncRNA from 1 species
CUAUUUCAUAUUAAGUUUUAAAAAUAUAAUAUAUAUGAUUAUUUAUGUGGUGGUACAUAUAAAAUACUAUUACUUAUAUGAUGGUAGGUUAAAAACACGAUUAAUUAUAUGAUGACACAUAUAUGAUAUUUGAUAGUGACAUGAAAAAUAAAUAACAACUUAUUUUUGCAAUAUUAUAUCUUCUAUCUUAUUAAAGUAGAAGUACUUUUGGGAAUGUUUGGAAACAAGAAGGAAAAUUGCCAAAAAUACUAUUUUCAAAAUACCAUUUUUCAUGUUUACACUAACCACUUUUACCAUCUUCUUUAAUGAAGAGUAAAAGACAUUUAUAACCGUUUGAUUACCUUUCACAAAAAAAACAUAUGGUUAACUAAUCUAAACUUAAAACAUCAACUCUAAACCAUAAAUCAUCAACUCUAAACCCUAAACCAUGAAACGUCAACUCUAAACCCUAAACCCCGAAAAAUCAACUCAAAACCCUAAACCCUAAAACUUCAAAUCUAAACCCUAAAACAUCAACUCUAAACCCUAAACGUAAACCCUAAACCAUAAAUCUAAACUUAAAACAUCAACUUUAAACCCAAAAUCAUCAACUCUAAACCCUAAACCAUAAAACAUCAACUCUAAACCCUAAACCCUGAAACAUCAACUCUAAAACCUAAACCUUCAAAUCAAAACCCUAAAACAUCAACUCUAAACCCUAAACAUAAACCUUAAACCCUAAACC